UGAUAUUUUGUAAUUAAUAGAGGUGGUUAUAUUCGUUUCCGAUGUACCGACGAAUACAAUAUAUAAGUCAAAAAUCAUUCGGUAUUCUUUGAAAAAAGAAAAUAUGUGGCUGUUUGGUUCAAUAUUUGUUUGUUUCCAGUUCAUGAUGGUUCAUGCAAGUGGAUCUUGUGAUGAAGUGUAUAAAUGUCCAAAUGCAACGUUUGAUUCAAGUGAGCUGAUGGAUUAUGAAUAUGAUGAAGAAAAUCACAAAUGGAAGAUGACUAUGCAUUUGAACUACCUUGAUGUUUUCUGUCCGUACUUCUCGGAAAUACUGCCUUGCAUUAAGGAUAAUGGAGCAGCAUGUGAUGUCGUACAACAACAAUUGUUUGGAAUGAUGAAAAACACAUACAAUCCAAUUUGCAUCACUUACAAAGCAGAAUUGAAUUGAUUAAUUUCCCCCUGCUAUAAUGACCCGGUGUAUCAAGAACAGUUGGUUGACAAAUGUUACGACGAUGCAGCGGAUGAACUGAGUAAAAGAAGGAGGAACCAGUCACAAAGCACAGCAAACGCAGUAGACUGUGGAAUUAUAGAUAAAUGGGCAAGUUGUACACAUGAUGUAAUCAAAGCAUGCAGUCCGAAGAACGCACAUGCAAUUCUACCAAUAGUUGAAGAUACUAAACCAUACAUUUGUAUGAUUUAAACAAUGUCGAUCGACUGUAGAACGUGCAGUUUUAAUUGAAAUAAAAGUCCACAA